UCUCCUUUCUGGCCCAUGAGAAGUCUUAGAAGCGGAAGCCCUUCUUUUUCUCAAUGCCAAAUCGGUCAUUAAUGAAUCGAAAGGGCACAUUAUGGUAUGACAACCGAUCUCGCACUUUCUUCCCCAUUCUCUCCCUCCUUUCAUUCUUCCCGUAAUCCCAUCUCUGACCAUCUCCAUUUUCAUUUCGGGUAAAUCCCACCUUCAUAUUGCCUUUUAUUCGCCCCUCAAAAUAUUGGAAAGUUUUUUAACUCCAUUAUCUCAAAUGGCUCCCUAAAGACAGAUCAAUGAAAUUCACCUUCUUCCAUUACCCAUCUUAAAAUUUCCCUCUGGUAAGAAAGUCCAAUACCCUUUUUUUCAUUCCUGUAUAUGGGUAACUGAGGUUUUCUCUUUUCUUUGUUUUUAUUAUUUUUUGAAUUAAAUAUGAAUUCAAGAGAUCGGAUUUUCCCUGAUGAAGUUAUUCUUCAAAUACUUGCAAGAUUGCCUGUUAAGUCACUGUUUAGAGCUAAAACUGUAUGCAAACUCUGGUAUAGAAUAUCAUCAGAUAAGUAUUUUAUCCAACUUUACAAUGAAACAGCUGCUAAGACCCCAGUGGUGUUGUUAGAGAUUUCAGAUUCUUCUGAGUCAAAAUCUAGCUUAAUUUGUAUUGAUAAUUUAAGGGGUGUCUCUGAAUUCUCCUUAGAUUUCUUGAAAGACAGAGUGAAAGUUAGGGCCUCGAGUAAUGGCCUUUUGUGCUGCUCUAGUAUCCCUGAUAAGGGUGUUUACUAUGUUUGCAAUCCAAUGACUAGAGAAUCUAAGUUGCUUCCUAAGAGUAGAGAAAGGCCUGUGACUAGGUUUUAUCCUGAUGGUGAGGCCACUCUAGUUGGUUUGGCUUGCAAUUUAUCAAUGCAAAAGUUUAAUGUUGUUUUAGCCGGUUAUCAUCGAACAUUUGGUCAUAGGCCAGAUGGGACAUUUUUAUGUUUGGUAUUUGAUUCAGAUUUGAAUAAAUGGAGGAAGUUUGUUUCUUUUCAAGAUGAUCAUUUUACCCAUAUGAAUAGGAACCAGGUUGUGUUUGUCAAUGGUGCACUCCAUUGGUUAACAGGAAGUUUUUCAUGUAUUCUUGCACUUGAUCUGGAUUGUGAUGUUUGGAGGAAGAUCUCAUUGCCAGAUGAAUUGAGUUCUGGUGCUGGAAAUAGGGUGUAUUUGUUGGAGUCAGAUGGGUGUUUAUCUGUAAUACAGAUUUCAGAGGCAUGGAUGAAAAUAUGGGUGAUGAAGGACUAUAAGUGUGAACUGUGGCAUGAGGUGGAUAGGGUGAGCUUGAGAUGCAUUCGGGGAAUGGUGCCUGGUAUUUUCCCGAUAAGUCAGACAGGUGAAUGUGUUUUCCUGGCAACUUAUAAGCAGGUUUUGGUGUAUCAUCGGAGGAGUAGGGUGUGGAAAGAGAUGUUUUCAGUGAAGAACAGUUCUGCAUUGCCAUUGUGGUUCUCAGCACAUGCAUUUCGGAGCACAUUAUUCUCAUGUAAUUAAAUUGUGGUCAGCACCUGACAAGAUUCCUGUACAGAAAUUUAUUGGUGCUACUUAUUUGAACUGUUAUUUAUUAAUCUUCAUGAUUUUUCAAUAUGCAAUUGUUAUGCUGUUAUAGUGGCCUUGGUUUGGAUCUAUUACAUUUUAUGAAUAAUUAGCAAGGCAAGUUUGCUAAUUUUUUUUUUUUUUU
rnacentral:misc_RNA from 1 species